UGUUGAAACACCCUUUCUCGUACGAUCACCGAAGUUAAGCAAUGUCGAGCCUGGUCAGUACCUAGAUGGGUGACCGCUUGGGAAUACCUUUUACUGUA